UAAGGGCGCACGGUGGAUGCCUUGGCACUAGAAGCCGAUGAAGGACGUUACUAACGACGAUAUGCUUUGGGGAGCUGUAAGUAAGCUUUGAUCCAGAGAUUUCCGAAUGGGGAAACCCAGCAUGAGUUAUGUCAUGUUAUCGAUAUGUGAAUACAUAGCAUAUCAGAAGGCACACCCGGAGAACUGAAACAUCUUAGUACCCGGAGGAAGAGAAAGAAAAUUCGAUUCCCUUAGUAGCGGCGAGCGAAACGGGAAGAGCCCAAACCAACAAGCUUGCUUGUUGGGGUUGUAGGACACUCUAUACGGAGUUACAAAGGACGACAUUAGACGAAUCAUCUGGAAAGAUGAAUCAAAGAAGGUAAUAAUCCUGUAGUCGAAAAUGUUGUCUCUCUUGAGUGGAUCCUGAGUACGACGGAGCACGUGAAAUUCCGUCGGAAUCUGGGAGGACCAUCUCCUAAGGCUAAAUACUCUCUAGUGACCGAUAGUGAACCAGUACCGUGAGGGAAAGGUGAAAAGCACCCCGGAAGGGGAGUGAAAUAGAACCUGAAACCGUGUGCUUACAAGUAGUCAGAGCCCGUUAAUGGGUGAUGGCGUGCCUUUUGUAGAAUGAACCGGCGAGUUACGAUUUGAUGCAAGGUUAAGCAGUAAAUGUGGAGCCGUAGCGAAAGCGAGUCUGAAUAGGGCGUUUAGUAUUUGGUCGUAGACCCGAAACCAGGUGAUCUACCCUUGGUCAGGUUGAAGUUCAGGUAACACUGAAUGGAGGACCGAACCGACUUACGUUGAAAAGUGAGCGGAUGAACUGAGGGUAGCGGAGAAAUUCCAAUCGAACCUGGAGAUAGCUGGUUCUCUCCGAAAUAGCUUUAGGGCUAGCCUCAAGUGAUGAUUAUUGGAGGUAGAGCACUGUUUGGACGAGGGGCCCCUCUCGGGUUACCGAAUUCAGACAAACUCCGAAUGCCAAUUAAUUUAACUUGGGAGUCAGAACAUGGGUGAUAAGGUCCGUGUUCGAAAGGGAAACAGCCCAGACCACCAGCUAAGGUCCCAAAAUAUAUGUUAAGUGGAAAAGGAUGUGGCGUUGCCCAGACAACUAGGAUGUUGGCUUAGAAGCAGCCAUCAUUUAAAGAGUGCGUAAUAGCUCACUAGUCGAGUGACACUGCGCCGAAAAUGUACCGGGGCUAAACAUAUUACCG
rnacentral:rRNA from 1 species